AUCGCUUCUCGGCCUUUUGGCUAAGAUCAAGUGUUGUGUCUGUUCUUAGCAGUUUAAUAUCUGAUACAUCCUCUAUCCGAGGACAAUAUAUUUAAUGGUAUUUUGGAGCUCGGAGUUGGAAUAGGAGCUUUCUCCGUCCACUCCAUGUGUCGACCUGGUAUUGCAGUACCUCCAGAAGCGGUGCACUCCCU
ensembl:snRNA U2 U2 spliceosomal RNA